UACGUAGGGGGCAAGCGUUGUCCGGAUUUAUUGGGCGUAAAGAGCGUGUAGGCGGCCAAGCAGGUCCGCUGUGAAAACUCGAGGCUCAACCUCGAGACGUCGGUGGAAACCGUUUGGCUAGAGUCCGGAAGAGGAGAGUGGAAUUCCCGGUGUAGCGGUGAAAUGCGUAGAUAUCGGAAGGAACACCUGUGGCGAAAGCGGCUCACUGGACCAUUACUGACGCUGAGGCACGAAAGCUAGGGGAGCAAACAGG
rnacentral:rRNA from 1 species